UUAACUAUUAUAUAGUACUCAGACGACACUGUAAUUCAGAGUUUGGGGUUCUCUGGCGGGCACGCACCAGCCGAAGCCGAUAGCCCGAAGGCGGCCCGCCAAAGCAACAAAGGUAUGUAUAACAUAGGGUGGGAGGUCUACCCGUGAGGGCAUGAACUCUGUAAUGAUCCUUCCGCAGGUUCACCUACGGAAA
rnacentral:misc_RNA from 1 species